rnacentral:piRNA from 1 species
UGCGUUUUCGAAACUAGUGCA